AGGAUUGAAAAGGGGGUCAAAAGCCCCCAAGUUUAGUAUAAAUAAUAGAGCAAAUGAACAGGGAUCCAGCCAGCUGCAACAAGGAUGCACUGGAGUUGGAGAGCCUGAUAAGAACCUGACAUCCUAUCACUUGUCAUCAUUUUCCUGAUCCUCUGCGUGAUCCUUACAACUCUCAAAUUCUACCCUCAUCUGGACCUUGGUGAGAGCAGCAACUUCUCUCUAGGAUCCUCUCCUUAACUACUCCAUGCUAGGAGAAGCCUGCCUUGGUUCUGGAACUGAUCACCAUGGUCUAAGAAAUAAUUCAGUGCCUGGGAUCAGAGACCAUUCCAGACAUCAGUGAUGCUGGCUGACAUGUGUGCACACCUGCAACUUCUUUAAGGUGUGAAAAGCAAGGAAAUCUACAAAGGAACUAUGGGUUUGCCACCUUGAAGAACCAUCAGCUGGGGUUAUGGUGAUUCUUUCACCCAAGGUGCUCAAACUAUCCAUGAUAUAAUGACACCUACAGAUGCUGUGACACAUCAGAAAGCUGAUAUAAAAGAAGAAUGUUUUUUAUUUUAUUUUAUGGUAAAACAUGUAACAUGAAAUUUACAAUUUAACUAUUUUAAGUGCACGGUUCUGUAGUGUUAAAGACAUUCACAUUGUCUUACCACCUUCUGAUCUCCAGAAUGCUUUCCAUCUUGUUAAAAUGAAACUCCAUACUUAUAAAGUAGUAACUUUUCAUUCCCCUCUGCCCCAGCCCCUGGUAACCAUUUUCUGUCUCUAUGAAUUUGUCUACUCUGGGUAAGGAGGAGGAAAUUUUUUAACCAAAAUGUUUAAACAUAUUUAAAAUUCUAGUAAUACCUCUUCAGGAUUUUCUCUGGCUUGUAUUCUUUCUUGCAGAGAUGGGGUAUCAACGGUUCCUAAAUCACAGGAUGACAUUCAGUUUGGUUACUUCUUUAAACCAAAAAAGUAGAUAAUUAAACUUUAAACUUCCUUUCCAUAUAAUACAAUUAGUGACACCCUUCUCCUUUGACUUAAAAUGACAAUUUCUCCUUGGCUGCCUGAUCUCUUGACAUGUAACUUCUUUAAUAACAUUACUAUGAUUUUUCUCAAACAGACUAUGAUUAUUUGUAACAACCACAAUGAGAUGUAAAUAAAAUCAUCCAAGCAUUUUA